rnacentral:lncRNA from 10 species
CUGCAAGCCUGGCUUACGUACAAACACUGUACUGGAUGCUUAAACAAGAAAAUUAAAUAAACCCCUAAUUCAUCACUUUCCUUCAUCCUCCCUUUCACCUGUCACCCUACCUCCACCCCAAGUUUCACAGCCUAAACAGAAGAGAUCAAAAGACUGAAAUAUUAGUGAUAUUUUGGAAGGAAGAAUAGAUGGAAUCCAGAUGGAUGGAAACCUUUAUCUGAUUCUUGCACACAUGGCCACAGUACAUCCUGACUGAUACACAUGUACACAUAUGAAGAUCAAGAUAAAAAGACUGAAAGAGUUUAUUACUCAUGAGGCCUGACUUACAAGAAUUGCGAAGUUGAAGUGAAAGAAUACUAGACAGCAACACCAAAACAUAUGAAAAUAUAAAGCUCUUUGAUGGAGAUAAAUAUAUGGACAAAUACGGAAUCCUGUAAUUUGUAAUGGUGAUGCAUAAAUAAAUUUAAAUUCAGGUAUAAAAUUUAAAAUAUAAAAGCACAAAAAAUACAAAUAUAAAAAUAUGUUGAUACAAG